AUCCUUGGGAAAUAAAAGGUGGCUCUGCCCUUUCUGCCCAGGACAUUCAUCCCAACCCAGCCAAUUCAUACCUACCUUCUGUCAGAACUUAGAAAGGAUGCAAAGCAAUCAGGAAGAACCAGCCCCUGGGCCUGGGGAAACUGUCAGGAGCAGUGACAUCACAGGAAAAACCACCAACCAGGGCCAAGGAGAACAGAGCCCAGCCCCUCGCCCAGAGGAUCUCAGUCAGAGGCCCCAUUUCAGACCCCAGGCUAGCAUGGGCUGCAGGCUGCUCUGCUGUGCACUGCUCUGCCUCCUGGGAGCAGUCCCCAUGGACACUGGAGUUACCCAGACACCAAAACACCUGGUCAUGGGAAUGACAAAUGAGAAGUCUUUGAAAUGUGAACAACACCUGGGGCACAAUGCUAUGUACUGGUACAAGCAGAAAGCUAAGACGCCACCAGAGCUCAUGUUUGUGUGCAGCUAUAAGGAAAUCUCUGUAAAUGAAAGUGUGCCCAGUCGCUUCUCACCUGACUGUUCCGACAGCUCUCAGUUAUACCUUCACGUACACGCCCUGCAGCCAGAAGACUCGGCCCUGUAUCUCUGUGCCAGCAGCCAAGACACAGCCUUGCAGAGUCACUGUCUCCCUGUGCAGAAACCUUUGGGGCCUGGCAGGAAGCUGUGGGGAGCACGGAGGGCUUGGGUGACCACUUCCCGCAAGAGCCCCAACAGAAGCUUCAGAACAUCAUAGCACCUACUAAUUCAUCUAUGUGGCAACUUUAUAUGCUACGCAUAUAUUUAGAGUGUGGGUUUUCUUUUGCCUGAGUGUGACUCUGCCCUGUCAACUGAUUUUUUAAAAAUAUAAACAUAUUUAGAUCUAGUUUUCUUCAAAUGCUUUUUAAAA